UCUACCCCGCAGUGCGGAAUACCGGCGAGAAAUCGCCGACAAGACCGCAUGGGCUACCUCUCGUUAUGGGGAGGCAGCAAAGGUUUUCGCAAGAGAACCGCUCUGGGAUGAGCCUGCGGCUGAUUAGCUGGCUGGGGGGGUAACGGCCUCCCAGGGCGACGAUCAGUAGCUGGUCUGAGAGGACGAGCAGCCACACUGGGAUUGAGAACGGCCCAG
rnacentral:rRNA from 1 species